UUUAUCAGGCCUAUAUCCAUAUCCAGAUAAAAUAUAAAAUGACUAAAAUACUCUAUUCUUUUACUCCUCUUUUAUUUUGUUUUGGUAAAGAUUAUCUUUGAUCUCUGCGUGAAAAAUCCCCAAUUCUUCUAGCCCUAAUUUCUGGGGAAGCUACUUCCAUCUCGCCUCGCCGCUGAUCAACUCUCCGGCGGCUUAGCACGCCGCCUCUGCCGCUGUGAUUUCCUUUGCAUUCACUCAUUCAGGAGGAGGAAAUUGCUUUUAUUAGGUAGAGGAAUGAGUGGAGAAGAGAUGUUGCAACAAGAGAAAUGGGUGGAGAAGAGGCGCUGGAUCGGAGAAGAGAUGCGCGAGAGGCGCCGGAUCGGAGAAACCCUACUUUUUUGGGAUUAAGAGAAAUGGGAAGAAAUGAAUGAUGAUAUGUGCUAGGGACAGAUUUGGGAUAAGAUUAAUUUUAUUGGGUUAAAUUAGUCGUUUUAUGUCUUUAUCCUAAUUUUUGUCAUUGCUACCAAACAAGAAUGCUAAAUAAAUUAUCUUAGAUUUAAUCUUAA